UCAAUCAGUAAAUUACUGAUAUUACACACAAACCUUACACAUACCUGGACUGGUUGCCCAGUAAAGCUAAGCAGGGCUGAGCCUGGUCAGUACCUGGAUGGGAGACCUCCUGGGAAAACUAGGUUGCUGUUGGAA
rnacentral:rRNA from 1 species